UAACCUCUACAGUUUAGCUGCAUUUUACUUAAAAAUGCAUCCAUUACUCUAAAAAGCUUUUGGAAUGAGUGAUUCAUCAAAAAAGCUUAAAUAGCUCAAUCUUAUGUCCUACUAAUAAGGCACCACAUAUUUGUUUAAUUGUAAGUACAUAUUCAUAGCAUUUACAAUCAGCUGCAGUUUAGUUUUCAAGGACAUACUGUCUGUAAGGAGCUGUCAUUUUUGUCUGACAUGAGGUUUCUUGAAAAGUCACAAUUUCCCCUGCAGGUACUGAAGUUAUCCAAUUACACUUUAUUUAUUUAUUACAAUUAGUGCAUUCUUGGUAAGCUGUUGCAUGGAUAAAUGUUUUAAUUAAUCGCUAAUCCAACUAUUUUUCUGAACCAGGUGAUAAAACAGAUCACAACAGACUUGUGAGUUUUUGGAAGCAGGUAUGCAGAGUUUCCCAUGGUGAUUUUGGGGGGUUUGGUUGUUUGGGUUUGUUUGGGGGUUUUAUCUGUUUGGUGUUUUUUUUAAUCUGCUGUAUUAUCCUUGAUCCUAAUGGUAAAAUAAUAACUAAUUGUGUUUAAUUUAGGCUGAUUGUGAGUCAGCUCUGUAUCUGCUGAGGAAGUUAUCUGAGGCACCCUGUAAUUAGGUCUCUGCAGCACCUUCCUCGUACAUAAAUGGGCAAGUGGAUUCCUGGCUGUUUUCCUGUGAUCAACAAUGCAACUGAGGGACACAUCUGAGUGUCAGGUUAACUGUCUGGACAGCUGCAAGUCAAGCUUUCAAGACACGCUGCUUUAUCUGAUUGGUCUCAGUCUUGAUCUGGCACAUGAAAGGAAAUGUGAGGAAGUUUCCAGCAGAGAUCAUUUUGCGAGUCCAAAGAUGAGGGAAACUACCACUUCUUCCGUGCAUUCAGAACUGUGGGGGAUACUGAAGGACUCUAUGAGGUGGGAAAAUACAGCUGUGCUUUUUUUAAUUUAUUUUUUAAACAGUGUCUUUUAUGGUUAUUGUGAGCAGUGUGUGAAACUUAAGACUUUUAGCCUGCAGGGUGGAUGGAUCUGUCUCUGCCCCAAGAGGCUCACCAAAAACAUUCCCUGAGUUAUGGAUGAGCAUUGCCUUACAAAGCCAAUCCUACAGACUGCCUUCCUUCUGGAGACUGUUCCAGUCUCAGUGCUGGCUCCUCAGUUUGUACAGUUUUCUCCUAAUUCCACCAAG